AUAAUUUAUGAUUAUCUUGGCUUUGACACAAAAGUGCAGAAAGAAAAGAUUGAAACAUAUGAUUAGGGGCAGUAAAAUGGUUAAAAGAAAAUUGUUAACCACUCAUAUUAUCCAUUAAAAAUGGAUUGGAUAAUGAACUUUUUGAAAACGGGUCAAAUAUGGAUAAGAACCAUAUUAUCCAUUUAGAAAAUGGAUAACCAAUGAGUAACCAAUGUGUCUAACUUUUACAUUUGUAAAGCGUCAAAUUGGGGGUUCCUCAAAUGAGUCAUCAUAUCCCAUGAAUGUCGAAACCCGGAACUCCUCUCCGCGGAGGGAGAAAAAGGGGGCGCGACAACAAUAUCUUACGUACAUGACAUUUGUCUACAAGCUUCUAAGAAUAUGAAAUUUUCAUAAAGGUCGGGACAGAGUCCCGCCAUACCAAACAAUACACGUCUAAAUCAUACCAACCAAACAAGCAACUCCGAAGCAAAUGGAGCGCACCAACAUCUUCCGUUGAGCUGAUAGCCUACUUGGAGGGCUCUUGACCUGUCUAUCGGGACCUGCGAGCAUGAAACGUAGCAUCCCCAGGCAAAAGGGAUGCUAGUACGAAUAAUAUAUUGAGUAUGUAAGGCACAUAAAUAAGUACAUAACAGAUAUGAAAGAAACAUAGGGUAAUUGACUCAACCUGUAAGUAUGGAUAACUCUGUAAAUCAUGAAACAUUUUUAGCGUCAUGCAUAUGUGUAUGAAUGUCAUGUCAUGCAUAGGUACAUGUUUCUUAACAUCAUCGUAUCGUAUGGAUCAUGCCAAAAGAAAGAAGGGAUAGUCAUAACAUACCUGGAGUAGGGAAAAAUUCGUACAAUAUUCUUGUAGGAGAAUUCGAUUGCAAGGAAUCUUGUUGCUAAUCAAGUGUUUAGACCAGUACUUCGUUGAAGAUUUCAUAAGAAUUGCCCGUUUUUUGUAGACUUCUUAACUAUUCAUUCCUGAGUUCUAAUUUGUAGGACAUGGCUAAUGUUAUGAUCUGUGUCUUUUUAUUCAAGACAUAGGAAGUGAAGCUUUGUUAAAAUCUUUUGAAAAUGGCUAAUGUUUUUUGAUAUUAGGAAUGCUAGUACUUUGAUUCUAU
rnacentral:lncRNA from 1 species